UACGGAGGGUGCAAGCGUUAUCCGGAUUUACUGGGUUUAAAGGGUGCGCAGGCGGAUAUGUAAGUCAGUGGUGAAAUCUCCGGGCUUAACCCGGAAAUUGCCGUUGAUACUAUAUAUCUUGAAUGUUGUGGAGGUAAGCGGAAUAUGUCAUGUAGCGGUGAAAUGCUUAGAUAUGACAUAGAACACCUAUUGCGAAGGCAGCUUACUACGCAGAUAUUGACGCUCAUGCACGAAAGCGUGGGGAUCAAACAGG
rnacentral:rRNA from 1 species